AUUUCUUUAAGCUUCAAAUCUUUUCACCCUGGCCUCAGGCUCUUGCACAGUUUGCUAAAGAAAUUCUGUCAAUUCACCUCAUUUUACCUGCUCAUGACCUGUGACUGGCUGACUCAAGUUUUUGUGCUUGGGACAAAAGGACAGUGGAAAGAACAUGGGGACUUUGCUCCAAGACCCACAGUUCCCCUCUGUUUCUGAGCACUGCACUUCAUUGUCAUCCUCCAUUCCACUGGGCGCCCCAGGCAGGACGGUGGCCUUGUCCCCACGGGGUUCGCCAUGCCCAGCGUGCCAUGGACUCCACACUAAUCACUCUCACAGCUGCUUGGCACUGCCUCUUUCAUGACGGCCUUUGAAACCCAGGUGCCUGGAAAGGCAGAAAGAAUUCUGUCUGAAAACAUCUUUCAUCUGCCUAUGUUUGCUGUGGUCAUCGCACAGCUAGAAGCAAUGCUCAAGCCUUUGGAAACUAAAACGUAGCUUCCUGAAAGGAUGACUUGAUCAAGUUACACAGAGGUUGGAAGUGAGAGGCCUGGAUUGAAAUUCCAGCUCUGUCACCAGGGGCAAUUUUCAUUAUUCAUUCUGCAUAAAGACCAAAAUGCAAGGUACAAAAUCAUCUAAAUAGUUAUCCUCAAAUAAUUGGAUAACAAUCAAACAUUUUUUUUAAGUAUAAUUUAAGAAUCAAAGGAUUCUUCAAUAGGAUAAAGCAUUCCUAUUUUGAAUCAAAAAAUCAGCACUGAUAAAGUAAGUUCAAAAUUAGGAACAGGGACUUCCCUGGCAGUCUAGUGGUUAAGAUUUUGUGUUUCCAAUGCAGGAGGUUCAGAUUCAAUCCCUGAUCAGGGAACUAAAAGCCUGCAUACUUCGAGGUGAAGCCAAAAAAUAAAUAAAAAAUAAAGGUAAAAAACA
rnacentral:tRNA from 1 species